rnacentral:rRNA from 1 species
UUUUGUAGCUUUCAUGCUCAAUCUUGUCUGGUCUCAGAAGCUAAGCAGGGUUGUGUCUGGUUAGUACUUGGAUGGGAGGCCACUGGGAAUACCAGGUGCCACACAGG